GAAGAGCCACUUUGAUUGUUUAGAUAAGAGUUUCUAUGAGCUGCAGAAUCAUGUGCAUGGCAUCGUGCUUGCGUAAAUGCAGCAAGACAGUAGCUCGCGAGUCGCUGGAGUUGCUCCAGCGAGAGAAAUGUCCACUCCAGAUUGGCUGUGGAUAUAAAAAAACUGGAAUGACUGCUGGGCUAGAGGUGCGUCUUUUGAUUAUGUAUAUUUGUCAUAGAGUCAUCCGUGUCCAUCGUAGCUUCCACAUAUUUCUUUAAUUUGAAGUCUUUGAAGUGCUGCACCUCUUCAAGUGGCUUCAAACCUUGAGGCUAUAAAAGUUUAGCACUAAAAUCACAAACCUACAACACAUAAGCUUAGCAAUACCUGAUUUCUAAUCCUUCUUAAGGGAAGAAAAUCCUUGGCAACCUUAUAAAAUGCAAAGCUAGAAAGCAGUUGUUAAGAAACAAAGUCACCUUUUAGGUCAAGUGAGGGAUCAUAGCCUUGUUUCACUUUCCUGAUGGCAUCUGUUGCCAUGCUGGAGUUUAUAGCAUUAAACACAGCCAGAGAGCAUAAUCUAAGUUUAUGCGUUUGGAACAUUUAUGUGUUUGCUCGGUAAGUAUGUUGAGGACUGUAAUUGGUCUCACCGGCUUGAGAAGAAAGCUCUUUUCUUGCAGAGGUAAGAGAUGUUCAUCCACUAGGAGGAAACACACGAGAGAAUCCAGAAUGCUAAUCCUCUCUCAGUUGAUGCAAGGCGUUUUCACCAGGCAGCGGACUCUCAUUCUUGGCCUCUUU
rnacentral:lncRNA from 1 species